UUCUUUGAUCCUCUUCCUGGCCUGCUCCUGCUUCUGCGUCCCAGGACAGAAUGACUGAGAACAUGAAGGAGUGCUUGGCCCAGACCAAGGCGGCUGUGGGGGACAUGGUGACCGUGGUGAAGACAGAGGUCUGCUCGCCCCUCCGCGACCAGGAGUAUGGCCAGCCCUGCUCUAGGAGACCCGAGCCUUCGGCCAUGGAAGUCGAGCCCAAGAAACUGAAGGGGAAGCGAGACCUCAUGGUGCCCAAGAGCUUCCAGCAAGUCGACUUCUGGUUCUGCGAGUCCUGCCAGGAGUACUUUGUGGACGAGUGCCCCAACCAUGGUCCCCCCGUAUUUGUGUCAGACACACCGGUGCCCGUGGGCAUCCCGGACCGGGCUGCCCUCACCAUCCCGCAGGGCAUGGAGGUGGUCAAGGAAGCCAGCGGAGAGAGCGACGUGCGGUGCAUUAGUGAGGUCAUACCCAAGGGCCACAUCUUUGGCCCCUAUGAGGGGCAGAUCUCCACUCAGGACAAAUCGGCGGGCUUCUUCUCAUGGCUGAUUGUGGACAAGAACAGCCGCUACAAGUCCAUAGAUGGGUCGGACGAGACCAAGGCCAACUGGAUGAGGUACGUGGUCAUCUCCCGGGAGGAGAGGGAGCGGAACCUGCUGGCCUUCCAGCACGGCGAGCGCAUCUACUUCCGCGCCUGCAGGGACAUCCGGCCCGGGGAGCGGCUGCGGGUCUGGUACAGCCAGGACUACAUGAGGCGCCUGCACAGCAUGUCCCAGGAGACCAUCCACCGCAACCUGGCCAGAGCCUCCGAGAGCAUGGUCUCGGGCCCCGCCAUCAUGGAGGACGAUGACCAGGAGGUCGACUCGGCCGAUGAAUCCGUCUCCAACGAUAUGAUGACCACGACCGACGAGCCGUCCAAGAUGUCCUCCGCCACCGGACGCCGGAUCCGGCGCUUCAAGCAGGAGUGGCUGAAGAAGUUCUGGUUCCUGCGGUACUCGCCGACCCUCAAUGAGAUGUGGUGCCACGUGUGCCGCCAGUACACGGUGCAGUCCUCCCGCACCUCGGCCUUCAUCAUCGGCUCCAAGCAGUUCAAGAUCCACACCAUCAAGCUGCACAGCCAGAGCAACCUGCACAAGAAGUGCCUGCAGCUCUACAAGCUCCGCAUGCACCCCGAGAAGACGGAGGAGAUGUGCCGCAGCAUGACCCUGCUCUUCAACACCGCCUACCACCUGGCCCUCGAGGGCAGGCCCUACCUGGACUUCCGGCCGCUGGCCGAGCUGCUGAGGAAGUGCGAGCUCAAGGUGGUGGACCAGUACAUGAACGAGGGCGACUGCCAGGUGCUCGUCCACCACAUCGCCCGGGCGCUGCGGGAGGACCUGGUGGAGCGCAUCCGCCAGUCCCCGUGCCUCAGCAUCAUCUUGGACGGGCAGAGCGACGACCUGCUGGCCGACACGGUGGCCGUGUACGUCCAGUACACCAGCAGCGACGGGCCCCCGGCCACGGAGUUCCUGUCCCUGCAGGAGCUGGGCUUCUCCAGCACAGAGAGCUACCUCCAGGCGCUGGACCGGGCCUUCACCACCCUGGGCAUCCGGCUGCAGGACGAGAAGCCCACGGUGGGCUUGGGCGUGGACGGGGCCAACAUCACGGCCAGCCUGCGGGCCAGCAUGUUCAUGACCAUCCGCAAGACGCUGCCCUGGCUGCUGUGCCUGCCCUUCAUGGUGCACCGGCCCCACCUGGAGAUCCUGGACGCCAUCAGCGGGAAGGAGCUGCCCUGCCUGGAGGAGCUGGAGAACAACCUGAAGCAGCUGCUGAGCUUCUACCGCUACUCGCCCCGGCUCCUGGGCGAGCUGCGCUGCACGGCCGCCACCCUCUGCGAGGAGACCGAGUUCCUGGGGGACAUCCGGGCCGUGCGCUGGGUCAUCGGGGAGCAGAACGUCCUCAACGCCCUCAUCAAGGACUACCUGGAGGUGGUGGCCCACCUCAAGGACGUCAGCAGCCAGACGCAGCGGGCGGACGCCUCGGCCAUCGCCCUGGCCCUGCUGCAGUUCCUCAUGGACUAUCAGUCGGUCAAGCUCAUCUACUUCCUGCUGGACGUGAUCGCCGUCCUCUCGCGCCUGGCCUACGUCUUCCAGGGCGAGUACCUGCUGGUGUCCCAGGUGGACGACAAGAUCGAGGAGGCCAUCCAGGAGGUCAGCCGGCUGGCCGACUGCCCGGGGGAGUACCUCCAGGAGUUCGAGGAGAACUUCCGGGAGAGCUUCAACGGGGUUGCCGUGAAGAACCUCAGGGUGGCCGAGGCCAAGUUCCAGUCCAUCAGGGAGAAGAUCUGCCAGAAGACCCAGGUCAUCCUGGCCCAGAGGUUCGACUCCCGCAGCCGGAUCUUCGUGAAGGCCUGCCAGGUGUUCGACCUGGCCGCCUGGCCCAGGAGCAGCGAGGAGCUCGUGAGCUACGGCAAGGAGGACAUGGUGCAGAUACUCGACCACCUGGAGGCCAUCCCCACCUUCUCCCGGGACCUCGGCCAGGAGGGGCUGGACCCGCGGGGCAGCCUGCUGACGGAGUGGCGGGAGCUCAAGGCCGAUUACUAUACCAAAAACGGCUUCAAAGACCUCAUCAGCCACGUCUGCAAGUACAAGCAGAGGUUCCCGCUCUUGAACAAGAUCAUCCAGGUCCUGAAGGUCCUCCCCACGUCCACCGCCUGCUGCGAGAAGGGCCGCAGCGCCCUCCAGAGGGUCCGCAAGAACCACCGCUCCCGCCUGACCCUGGAGCAGCUGAGCGACCUGCUGACCGUCGCGGUCAACGGACCGCCCAUCGCCAACUUCGAUGCCAAGCGAGCCCUGGACAGCUGGUUCGAGGAGAAGUCGGGCAACAGCUACGCACUGUCGGCCGAGGUCCUCAGCAGGAUGUCGGCCCUGGAGCAGAAGCCGGCGCUGCAGGCCGUGGACCACGGGUCCGAGUUCUACCCGGACAUGUAGGGAGCCAGCGGCAGAGUCCACGGAGCUGUUGAAUAUUUUUUUAAUCUAUACUCAUAAGCUUUGAUAUAUUAUAUAAAUCUAUAUUAUAUUAUAUUAUAUAUAUAUAUAUAUAUAAAACCCACACUGAAGAUUUUUAAAAAACCAAGGUGACACGUCCACCAGAAGCUACUAGGAGCUUUCAGAAAGGCACGACGUCGGACAGCGACGCCUGUCUACGACACUUGGCAGCUUGAACCUACGUGGCGACCCGUUUCCACUCACAGAAGCAUGUGCUGGGCCCCGCGUGUCCCCACCCGACAGCCACCGACAGCAUGAGCUAAGUGACGGGUCUCUGUCACGGCCUCUAGGUAGCUCGCUCUGUUCCUGUCGCCACUGGGGGGUGGAGGGAGGUGGGUUGGGCUUGGGGUUUAUGUUCUCGCCAUUUUUUCUGUUGGGUUUCAUGGUGGGGUUUGGGGGGUGGCUCUUGGCUUCUUCGUUGACAUUCUGGUCCCCGACUCCCACCUUGUGGGUUGGGGUGCCCUCCUCCCCCACCUGACGUCAGUGUGACGGAUUUGUUCUACUCAUUCCCUUCGCUGUCCCACAAACACAGGUGUCGGUGGUACUGUGAACCCUCCCCGCCCCCACCCGUCACCUCCCGUCCCUGGUGGUCUGUUCGCUCCCUCCAGGCCCCUGGAUUGAAAGACAGAACCCGUUCUCUGGAAGGCAGAAGGGCCUUAGAGCCGAGCUUGCAAUCCAGGGGAAGGGGAGGGCGGCUUUGGGCAUCCCUGUUGUCCAUGGUGGAGGAUCAGAUGGCAGAAUCCCACGCAGACCCAGGGCCGCUGGGAGACGAAAAGCCAGCAAAUCCAGACCCCCAACGGGGCGGCGAUUUUUGGCUAAAAACAAGUAAAAUGAAAAGUAUCUAUGGGAUCGACAUGGAUUAUUUAUACUCUGUCUUUAUAAUCAUAUACUGUUGGGGGGUAUUUUUGUUUUCCUUUCAUAAUCAAGCACCUGCAAGGUAGCUACGGAGCAGGAGCUGUCGAUGCAAGUUGUGCCCUGGGUUACGUGUCACUCUAAGAGCGUCCCCAGGGAGGUGGUCCGGGCUGGCGCCACGCUCCGCAGCCCAGCAGGAAGGUCCUGGGAGACUGGGCAGUGCUUCUAGGCCUGUGAGCUUCCUUUUUGUGAACAGGGUAGAGAUGUCCCAAAGAAAAGGAGCAAACAGGAAGCGGGACCAGAUUCUCAAGGCAUCAACUUGGACACACACACACACACACACACACACACACACACACCACAACCACAAUAUAAGCUUUAGAAAAGGCCACUUGCCCGCUCCCUGGGGCAGGCAGUGGUGUAGGCGAGGAGUCUGACCCGCGCUCCUCCCGUCAUUUCACCACAGUAUACCUCGCAGGGGAGUCUCCAGAUAUGUGCGUGAGCUGUUAAAGCUUCUCUUCACGUUCCCACACCUGAUUUGUGCGUAUUUUAUAUGCACAGAUCCUAAGGUGGACGCAGGUCGUAUUGGGGGAGGGACGGGGAUCUGGAUCCCGCGUCCCCGCUCGGCUGUCCCUCCCCAUUAGUGGAGGGUGUUGAGAUCUGGCCACAGGCGAGGCCCCCCGAACCUUGGCCUUUGUGGCUCAGACACUGUGCAGCUGCGGUGGCUCCCUUACUCUUGGUUUAUCUUGUGUCUGCGGCCUGGUGCCACCGUGAGAACCAGAGUGGAAAGGUCAUCAACACUGAACGUCACCGCCCCUUCCUGGCCCCGCCGGUCCUGCCCCUCACAGAUCCUUCCUCUCACCCCCAUGGUCUUGGUGCUAAGAUAACUUUAGAAUCAUUGCUGCUAGUCGAUAGCUUUUCAUUAUAAAUAUAUAUAUUAUAUU
rnacentral:lncRNA from 1 species